UAUUUCUCCGUACGGGGAAGGAUGAGAAGCUUCGACUAAGGUUCGAUUCGAGCGCAGCGAGAAAGCGUUGCCGCAGGCAACGACCCGAAGGGUGAGGAGCGGAGCGACGAAUAAUCCUUCCCCCCACCACCA
rnacentral:sRNA from 1 species